rnacentral:tRNA from 1 species
GGUAGCUUAGUGGUAGAGCACCUGCCUUGCAUGUACAAGGUCCUGGGUUUGAUCCCCAGCC